GAUGAACGCUGGCGGCGUGCCUAAUACAUGCAAGUCGAGCGAACGGACGAUAAGCUUGCUUCUCUGAUGUUAGCGGCGGACGGGAGAGUAACACGUGGAUAACCUACCUAUAAGACUGGGAUAACUUCGGGAAACCGGAGCUAAUACCGGAUGAUAUUUUGAACCGCAGGGUUCAAAAGUGAAAGACGGUCUUUCUGUCACGUAUAGAUGGAUCUGCGCUUGAUUGGAUGGUUGCUAAGUUAACGGCUUACGAAGGGAACGAUGCAUAGCCGACCGGAGGGGCUGGUAGGCCACAUUGGAACGUGACCACGGUCCUGAGUCCUGCGGGACGCAGCAGUAGGGAAUGUUCCGCAAUGGGCGAAAGCCUUACGCAGUGACGGCGCGUGAGUGAUGACGGUCUUCGGAUCGUAAAACUCUGUUAUGAGGGAAGAACAUAUGUGUAAGUAACUGUGCACAUCUUGACGGUACCUAAUCAGAAAGCAACGGCUAACUACGUG
rnacentral:rRNA from 1 species